rnacentral:rRNA from 1 species
GAGAAAGGGAUAUAAAAUUCCAGGGGUACCGGGGAAAUGCGUAAAGAUCUGGAGGAAUACCGAUGGCGAAGGCACUUUCCUGGCUUAAUAUUGACACUGAGAUUCAAAAGCGGGGGAACCAACCAGGAUUAAAUACCCGGGAAGUCCACCCCGAAAACAAUGUCUACUAGCCGUUGGGGGCCUUGAGACUUUAGUGGCGCAGUUAACGCGAUAAGUCUCCGCCUGGGGAGUACGGCCGCAAGGUGAAACUCAAAUGAAUUGACGGGGGCCCGCACAAGCGGUGGAGCAUGUGGUUUAAUUCGAUGCAACGCGAAGAACCUUACCUGGUCUUGACUCCUCUGAAUCCUGUAAAGAUGCGGGAGUGCCUUCGGGAAUUCACAUACAGGUGCUGCUUGGCUGUCGUCAGCUCGUGUCGUGAGAUGUUGGGUUAAGUCCCGCAACGAGCGCACCCCUUUUCCUUAUUUGCCAGCGGGUUAAGCCGGCAACUUUAAGGAUACUGCCAGAGACAAACUGGAGGAAGGCGGAUGACGACAAAAGUCAUCAUGCUCCUUACCACCAGGGCUACACACGCUGCUACAAUGGUAACUACAGAGGGUUGCUACACAGCGAUGUGAUGCUAAUCUCAAAAGCCUAUCGUACUCCUCAUUGUAUGCUGCACUCUGCUCCAUGAAGUCAUAAUCUCUAAUAAUCGCAUCAUCAUAUGCUGCGGAGAAUACUUUCCCGGGUCUUGUACACACCGCCCGUCACACCAUGGGAGUCUAUUGCACCAGAAGUAGUAGCCUAACGAAAGAGGCGCUUACCACGGUGUGGUCGAUGACUGGGGUGAAGUCG